rnacentral:rRNA from 1 species
GAUCAUGGCUCAGGAUGAACGCUGGCGGCGUGCUUAACACAUGCAAGUCGAACGGGCUUAAGACUGAAGCUUGCUUUAGUUUAAGUUAGUGGCGGACGGGUGAGUAACGCGUGGGCAACCUACCCUGUGCAGGGGGAUAGCAGCUGGAAACGGCUGAUAAAACCGCAUAAAACGGCAGUACCGCAUGGUACAACCGUCAAAUAUUCAUAGGCACAGGAUGGGCCCGCGUCUGAUUAGCUAGUUGGUGGGGCAACGGCCUACCAAGGCGACGAUCAGUAGCCGGCCUGAGAGGGUGAACGGCCACAUUGGGACUGAGACACGGCCCAAACUCCUACGGGAGGCAGCAGUGGGGAAUAUUGGACAAUGGGGGAAACCCUGAUCCAGCGACGCCCGCGUGAGUGAAGAAGUAUUUCGGUAUGUAAAGCUCUAUCAGCAGGGAAGAUGAUGACGGUACCUGACUAAGAAGCACCGGCUAAAUACGUGCCAGCAGCAGC